GACGAACGCUGGCGGCGUGCUUAACACAUGCAAGUCGAGCGAGAAAGCACCUUCGGGUGUGAGUACAGCGGCGAACGGGUGAGUAACACGUGGGCAACCUGCCCCAGAGACUGGGAUAACGUCCCGAAAGGGGCGCUAAUACCGGAUGAUGCGCGAUUUGCCGAGUAGGUCGCGCCAAAUGGUAGCUUCGGCUUCUGCUCUGGGAUGGGCCCGCGCCGGAUUAGCUUGUUGGUGAGGUAACGGCUCACCAAGGCGACGAUCCGUAGCUGGUCUGAGAGGACGAUCAGCCACACUGGGAGUGAGACACGGCCCAGACUCCUACGGGAGGCAGCAGUGGGGAAUCUUGCGCAAUGGGCGAAAGCCUGACGCAGCAACGCCGCGUGAGCGAAGACGGCCUUCGGGUUGUAAAGCUCUGUCAGGAGGGACGAAGCCACUCAGGUGAAUAGCCGAGAGGGUGACGGUACCUCCAGAGGAAGCCCCGGCUAACUACGUGCCAGCCGCCGCGGUAACAC
rnacentral:rRNA from 1 species